rnacentral:rRNA from 1 species
AUUGAACUCUGGCGGCAGGCCUAACACAUGCAAGUCGAGCGAGCGGCGGACGGGUGAGUAAUGUAUGGGGCUCUGCCCGAUAGCGGGGGAUAACUACUUGAAACGGUUGCUAAUACCGCAUCCUCUCUGAUGAACCCAUAUGGGAUUAGCUAGUAGGUGGGGUAAAGGCUCACCUUGGCGACGAUCUCUAGCUGGGCUGAGAGGAUGAUCAGCCAGACUGGGACUGAGACACGGCCCAGACUCCUACGGGAGGCAGCAGUGGGGAAUAGUGCACAAGGGGCGCAAGCCUGAUGCAGCCAUGCCGCGUGUAGGAAGAAGGCCUUAGGGUUGUAAAGUACUUUCAGCGGGGAGGCGUUACCCGCAGAAGAAGCACCGGCUAACUCCGUGCCAGCAGCCGCGGUAAUAC